rnacentral:rRNA from 1 species
AUGGCGUCGUCUCUGCCGGAGAAGGCUGGGGUUCCCCCGUGGAGCAGGCUGGAAGGGCAGGUUGUGCUGGUGACGGGCGCCUCCUCCGGCAUCGGCCGCGAUUUCUGCCUCGACCUGGCGCGCGCCGGCUGCCGGGUCGUCGCCGCCGCGCGCCGCGCCGACCGCCUCCGCUCCCUCUGCGACGAGGUCAACGCAUCCGCGGACGCGGCCGCCAGCCAUCCCCGGGCGGUGGCCGUCGAGCUCGACGUCGCCGCCGGAGGGUCCGCCGUCGAGGCGGCGGUGCAGAGGGCCUGGGACGCCUUCGGCCGCAUCGACGUCUUGAUCAACAACGCUGGCCUCCGAGGAGGUGUUCAUUCCUCACUGGAUUGGCCUGAGGAUGAGUGGGAUAAACUCAUCAAGACAAACCUUACCGGAUUAUGGCUCGUCGCCAAGCAUGUAUGUAGACACAUGCGUGAUGCCAAGAUAAAGGGUUCAGUAAUCAACAUUUCGUCUGUUGCUGGCCUCAACCGUGGCAAUCUGCCUGGCUCCAUUGGAUACGCAUCUUCCAAGUCGGCCGUGCAUUCUGUCACGAAGAUAAUGGCUUUGGAACUAGGAGGGUAUAGAAUUAGAGUGAACGCAAUUGCGCCUGGAAUAUUCCAGUCAGAAAUAACUGCUCCUCUGUUGCAAAAGAGAUGGUUGAGCACCGUUGUUUCGAAGAUUGUGCCACUUAAGACAAAUGGCACUACCGAUCCAGCAUUAACAUCGCUGGUUCGUUUUCUGAUCCAUGAAAAGGCAUCAUAUAUAACUGGCAACAUCUUCAUCGUAGAUUCAGGCGUCACCGUACCUGGUGUUCCAAUAUUCUCUUCUCUGUAA